rnacentral:rRNA from 1 species
GAGAGUUAAACAGUACGUGAAAUUGUUGAAAGGGAAACGAUUGAAGCCAGUCGUACCUUCGGGUAAUCAGCCUUUCGGGUGCGAUUCUGUGGAGUUUGAGGAGCUUAACACCUUCAUGCUUUGCAUAUUCGUGCUCUUGGGUGUACUUGCCCGUGUGGUUGGUUAACAUCAAUUUUGGUGGUCAUAAAAUGACUGGAGGAAUGUAGCUUCGAUCUUGUAUUGAAGUGUUAUAGCCUUCGGUAGAUGUGAUGAUCGAGAUUGAGGAUUGCAACGGAUACCCUUCGGGGCUACCUGUCUGAUCUCUGAUCGUUGCUCUGGUGCCGAAAGCUUGCUUAUGAUGUUAGGGUAUUACGGUCAAAAGGUUAGAACGGAUUAAAUUCGUUAAGGAUGUUGACGUAAUGACUUUAAACGA